AUAAAGUUUAAUUUUAGUUUAAAAAUUUAUUUAAUUUUUUAUUUACAUGUAAAUUUUAGUAGGGAUAUAAUAUUAAUUUUAAUAAUUAUAUUUAAAUUUUUUAUUCGCAGUAUGAAAUAUUAAUAAUUUAGGGGAUUAAGAAUUAUGAAUAAAUUUAUAUAUUAACAAAAUUUGUGCCAGCAGUUGCGGUUAUACAAAAAAUGUAAAUAAAUUUUAUUGGUUAAUAAUUAAAUGAAUUUUAUUUAAUUAAAGUAAAAUUUAUAAAGUGAAAUUUAAAAUUUUAAAUAAUUAUAAUUAAAAAUAUUGAUAUUAUGAAAUUUUAAUAUUAAACUAGGAUUAGAUACCCUAUUAUUUAAAAUGUAAAUUUAUAUACCAAAGUAGUAUUAGUUAUGAUCUUGAAAUUUAAAAAUUUUGGCGGUAUUUUAGUCUAUUCAGAGGAACCUGUUCUAUAAUUGAUAGUCCACGAUAAACUUUACUUUAUUUAUUAGUUUAUAUAUCGUCGUUAUUAAAUAUUUUAUAAGAAUUAUAAUAUUUAAUAUUUUUAAUUAAAAAAUAUAUCAGAUCAAGGUGUAGUUAAUAAUAAAGAAGAAAUGGGUUACAAUAAAUAUAUUUUUUGGAUUUAUAUAUAAAAUUGUGUAAUGAAAUUGGAUUUGAUAGUAAUAAUUUUUAGAUUUAAUUUAUGAUUAUAGCUCUAAAAUGUGUACAUAUCGCCCGUCACUCUUAUUAUAAGAUAAGAUAAGUCGUAACAUAGUAGAUGUACUGGAAAGUGUAUCUAGAAUGA
rnacentral:ncRNA from 1 species